rnacentral:rRNA from 1 species
GUAGGGAAUUUUCCACAAUGGACGAAAGUCUGAUGGAGCAACGCCGCGUGAACGAUGAAGGCUCUCGGGUCGUAAAGUUCUGUUGUUAGGGACGAACAAGUGCCGUUCGAAUAGGGCGGCACCUUGACGGUACCUAACGAGAAAGCCACGGCUAACUACGUGCCAGCAGCCGCGGUAAUACGUAGGUGGCAAGCGUUGUCCGGAAUUAUUGGGCGUAAAGCGCGCGCAGGCGGUUAUGUAAGUCUGAUGUUAAAGCCCGGGGCUCAACCUCGGUCCGCAUUGGAAACUGCGUAGCUUGAGUGCAGAAGAGGAAAGUGGUAUUCCACGUGUAGCGGUGAAAUGCGUAGAGAUGUGGAGGAACACCAGUGGCGAAGGCGACUUUCUGGUCUGUAACUGACGCUGAGGCGCGAAAGCGUGGGGAGCAAACAGGAUUAGAAACCCUAGUAGUCC